AUGAACAAGCUCAAGUUUAACUUCUGUUGCUGGAAUAAGCGUGGCCUGGGUCAGUCACAAAAAUGCUCUGAUGUGCUUUCGGAGCUCAUCUCCAUCCACCCCCAUGCUUGCUUCCUGCAAGAAACCAAACUAGGUACCCUUGACGCCUUCAAACAAAAAACGUUUCUUCCACAUCACCUAAACCUGCUACAUACUUCACCUGCCAUUGGCUCGGCAGGUGGUAUGCUCUCAGCCUUCUCCUCCUCCCACUUCACUGUUAUUUCCACCAAAUCAGGCGCCUACUCUCAAACGACCUUAAUUUCCUGCCUAGCCUCCCCCAGCAUCGCUAUAACAAACAUCUACGCCCCUACUGACCAUGGCCUUAAACACCUCUUCCUCCAGGAACUGGCUAGCUUCGCUCCCUCACUGCCUACGCCUUGGCUUAUCCUAGGUGAUUUCAACCUCCUUCGCCAUACGUCCAAAAACACUCCUCAUUUUCGCCAAGCCGAAGCUGAUAUGUUCAACGCCUUCAUUUACGCCCAUGCUCUCAUUGAGCUGCCCCUACUUGAUUGCCGUUUCACGUGGUCAAGUAAGAGAGAUCAGCCCACUCUGGAAAAACUUGAUAGAGUUUUCGUUAAUGUUGACUGGGACCUUCUCUUCCCCAACACUAAUAUCUCCUCUCUCACUCGUUUCAUCUCUGAUCAC
rnacentral:rRNA from 1 species